GUGGAGCGGUUGUGCUGUGGUAAACAGUGCGGCCCCAUGGAUACGGGUCUGGUUUGCAGGUUGGCGAGAAGCAACAUCAAUUACAUGCAGAUCAAUUUAAUCACAAACACCAGAGCAGAUUGCAAACAAAGACUCCCAGAGCCGCCGGGGCCUGCAGGACUGCCAGGGAGGCAGGCCCAUCUUCCAGGGACCCUCUUGGAGAUGCUCCUACUGAUGGCAGCCUCCGUGUUGGUGAAGGGUCCUGGAACCGCCCCCAGCUCUCCUGCUAAAGCAUGUCCUGAGUUUGCUCGCUUCCCUCUUUGUCCUCUGCUGCCACCAGGCCUACGCUGCCUGGAGCCCAGACUACGGAGAAACCCCCAGAGAGCGUGCCGGCCGUCCCUGCUCCCACGCUCGCCGCCCCAAUCCACUCUCCACAGGCCCACCAACGUGCUCUUCUAAACAGACGUCAGGUCUCCAUACACCUGUGUCUAAAGCCUUCCCGCGUCUUCCCAGCGCACCUGGAAGGACAAGGCUCUGCAGGAGUGGCCCAGGCCGCCCCUCCAGCCCCUCUCGGCUCCUCUCCCACUCCAUCAGCUGUGCUCCAGAGACUCCGGUCUGCCCUCUGUUUCUUGAACACACCAACUUUAUUCCUACCUCAGGGCCUUUGCUAAGGCUGCUGCCUCUGCCUGGACUGCUCUUUGUGCCUCCCCUGUAUCUUCACAUGGUGGGACACGAUAUGAUGUGAUGUGAUGUGUUGUCAUAAAAUAUGUCAUAUAUAUCUAGAUAGCUCUGUAUUUAUAUCUAUAGCUAUCUUAUCUUACACCCGCCUCAGCUCAGAUGUUACCUCCUCAGAGAAGCCUUCCCUGACUUCCUACCUCACGUCACUUCCCAGCCCUUGUCUCCCUCCCGCCACGGCCAUUCUCCAUCACCUCACAGUGGCCUCUUUUCCUCACAGCCUGAUCUCAUUUGUGUACGUGCUCUUGUCCCCUUCCCACCAGAAGGCUGGCUCCACAGGGGCACAGACUCCCCUCUCCUGCUCACUGCUCUGUCCACAGCAUUUUGAGCAGCGCCUGGCUCACAGCAGGUGCUCAGAAAAAGUUGGUGAAUGCAUGCAUGAAUGAAAGAGCUCCAAGAAGGGAGCUCAGUGGCAACAAGGUCACAGGAGUGGAGACUAUUCUUCUUGCUGCUGGAUAUUCUCUAGGACCCCGCUUGCUGAAAGGAGAAAGAAGCAAGUGUGCUCUCUGGAGCCCCGUCUGCCCAAGCUCACCCUGAGAUCCAGGCGAGCCCAGGUCUCUGAAGCUCCCACACUGCUCGCCCGUCGCAGACCCAGGAGAUGAC
rnacentral:lncRNA from 1 species